rnacentral:rRNA from 1 species
CCUACGGGAGGCAGCAGUAGGGAAUCUUCCACAAUGGGCGAAAGCCUGAUGGAGCAACGCCGCGUGGGUGAAGAAGGUCUUCGGAUCGUAAAACCCUGUUGUUAGAGAAGAAAGUGCGUGAGAGUAACUGUUCACGUUUCGACGGUAUCUAACCAGAAAGCCACGGCUAACUACGUGCCAGCAGCCGCGGUAAUACGUAGGUGGCAAGCGUUAUCCGGAUUUAUGGGGCGUAAAGGGAACGCAGGCGGUCUUUUAAGUCUGAUGGGAAAGCCUUCGGCUUAACCGGGGUAGUGCAUGUGAAACUGGGAGACUUGAGUGCAGGAGAGGAGAGUGGAACUCCAGGUGUAGCGGUGAAAUGCGUAGAUAUAUGGAAGAACACCAGUGGCGAAAGCGGCUCUCUGGUCUGUAACUGACGCUGAGGUUCGAAAGCGUGGGUAGCAAACAGGAUUAGAUACCCGAGUAGUC